rnacentral:rRNA from 1 species
UCGUGGAGUGAUUUGUCUGCUUAAUUGCGUUUCACAAGAGACAAAUAAAGAUCAGUUUGCUUAUACAUGCGUCUUCAUUAUGGUUUCGAUCAUAGUGUUGUUCGCAGGCAUUCUGACAUAAAAUGUUUCGAAGGCAACGAACGUGACCGCAUCCCAUUGUUGCCUCUCUGUUGUGACGUCAAACAUUGCAACACUGGGGUGAAGUUGUG